AGAGUUUGAUCAUGGCUCAGAUUGAACGCUGGCGGCAGGCCUAACACAUGCAAGUCGAACGGUAACAGGAAGCAGCUUGCUGCUUUGCUGACGAGUGGCGGACGGGUGAGUAAUGUCUGGGAAACUGCCUGAUGGAGGGGGAUAACUACUGGAAACGGUAGCUAAUACCGCAUAACGUCGCAAGACCAAAGAGGGGGACCUUCGGGCCUCUUGCCAUCAGAUGUGCCCAGAUGGGAUUAGCUUGUUGGUGGGGUAACGGCUCACCAAGGCGACGAUCCCUAGCUGGUCUGAGAGGAUGACCAGCCACACUGGAACUGAGACACGGUCCAGACUCCUACGGGAGGCAGCAGUGGGGAAUAUUGCACAAUGGGCGCAAGCCUGAUGCAGCCAUGCCGCGUGUAUGAAGAAGGCCUUCGGGUUGUAAAGUACUUUCAGCGGGGAGGAAGGUGUUGUGGUUAAUAACCACAGCAAUUGACGUUACCCGCAGAAGAAGCACCGGCUAACUCCGUGCCAGCAGCCGCGGUAAUACGGAGGGUGCAAGCGUUAAUCGGAAUUACUGGGCGUAAAGCGCACGCAGGCGGUCUGUUAAGUCAGAUGUGAAAUCCCCGGGCUCAACCUGGGAACUGCAUCUGAUACUGGCAGGCUUGAGUCUCGUAGAGGGGGGUAGAAUUCCAGGUGUAGCGGUGAAAUGCGUAGAGAUCUGGAGGAAUACCGGUGGCGAAGGCGGCCCCCUGGACGAAGACUGACGCUCAGGUGCGAAAGCGUGGGGAGCAAACAGGAUUAGAUACCCUGGUAGUCCACGCCGUAAACGAUGUCGACUUGGAGGUUGUGCCCUUGAGGCGUGGCUUCCGGAGCUAACGCGUUAAGUCGACCGCCUGGGGAGUACGGCCGCAAGGUUAAAACUCAAAUGAAUUGACGGGGGCCCGCACAAGCGGUGGAGCAUGUGGUUUAAUUCGAUGCAACGCGAAGAACCUUACCUGGUCUUGACAUCCACGGAAGUUUUCAGAGAUGAGAAUGUGCCUUCGGGAACCGUGAGACAGGUGCUGCAUGGCUGUCGUCAGCUCGUGUUGUGAAAUGUUGGGUUAAGUCCCGCAACGAGCGCAACCCUUAUCCUUUGUUGCCAGCGGUCAGGCCGGGAACUCAAAGGAGACUGCCAGUGAUAAACUGGAGGAAGGUGGGGAUGACGUCAAGUCAUCAUGGCCCUUACGACCAGGGCUACACACGUGCUACAAUGGCAUAUACAAAGAGAAGCGACCUCGCGAGAGCAAGCGGACCUCAUAAAGUAUGUCGUAGUCCGGAUUGGAGUCUGCAACUCGACUCCAUGAAGUCGGAAUCGCUAGUAAUCGUGGAUCAGAAUGCCACGGUGAAUACGUUCCCGGGCCUUGUACACACCGCCCGUCACACCAUGGGAGUGGGUUGCAAAAGAAGUAGGUAGCUUAACCUUCGGGAGGGCGCUUACCACUUUGUGAUUCAUGACUGGGGUGAAGUCGUAACAAGGUAACCGUAGGGGAACCUGCGGUUGGAUCACCU
rnacentral:rRNA from 1 species